rnacentral:rRNA from 1 species
AGGCUUAUCUCCCCCAAGAGUUCACAUCGACGGGGAGGUUUGGCACCUCGAUGUCGGCUCAUCGCAUCCUGGGGCUGUAGUCGGUCCCAAGGGUUGGGCUGUUCGCCCAUUAAAGCGGUACGCGAGCUGGGUUUAGAACGUCGUGAGACAGUUCGGUCCCUAUCCGUCGUGGGCGUAGGAAAUUUGAGAGGAGCUGUCCUUAGUACGAGAGGACCGGGAUGGACAUACCUCUGGUGUACCAGUUGUCGUGCCAACGGCAUAGCUGGGUAGCUAUGUGUGGACGGGAUAAGUGCUGAAAGCAUCUAAGCAUGAAGCCCCCCUCAAGAUGAGAUUUCCCAACUUCGGUUAUAAGAUCCCUCAAAGAUGAUGAGGUUUACAUCGUAUUGCUUAUAAAU